GCUGGGCGUGGUGGUGGGCGCCUGUAAUCCCAGCUACUUGGGAGGCUGAGGCAAGAGAAUUGCUUGAACCUGGGAGGUGGAGGUUGCAGUGAGCUGAGAUUGCGCCAUUGCACUCCAGCCUGGGUGACAGAGCGAGACUCUACAAAAAAAAAAAAAAAAAAAAUUUAGAGACAGGGUCUUGUUCUGUCUCCCAGGCUGGACUGCAGUGGUGCGAUCUUGGCUCACUGCAACCUCUGGCUCCCGGGCUCAAGUGAUUCUACCACCUUAGCCUCC
rnacentral:sRNA from 1 species